ensembl:lncRNA
GUGUUGCGGGGCGCGAUGUUGUUUUGUCGCGGCGAUCAGCUGGAAGUGGCGUCGCCGGUCCGCUCUGACACAACAGCGGGAAGCCCCCGGAGCCCCGAGCCGGCUCCCCGCCGCACCGAAACACGCCGGCACCGACGGCCCGAUCCGGGCAUCGCGAUCCAGGAAAUGCGGACUUUUGGCCCUUUCGCCACGGGGCAAAUGGCUGCAGCCGCCCGUACUGAAGCGAGCUGCUCUCCCUGCUCGUCUCACAGUGCCUGUGAAGCGUCUCUGAGGGGAAAGACC